AAACGCUUAAAGUCCAGUCGCGUCGGCUGGGAAUCAGUCUUGCUUCUGCUUGAUGUACUUCCUAGUCGACGGGUCAGCAUCAGUUUUGACCGUUGGAUAAAGGCCAAGGGAAUGUGGCUCCCCCGGGAGUGUUAUAGCCCUUGGUUGUAUACAACGGUUGGGACUGAGGAACUCAGCACGCCGCAAGGCCGGGUCUCGUACCACGUUCGUGCUUAGGAUGCUGGCAUAAUGGCUUUAAUCGA
rnacentral:rRNA from 1 species